GAAAGUGAUAAAUUUGAGAAACAUCCAUCACACCAUAUAUAUUUUAACAGUAAAAGCAUUCAUAGAUAUUUAAUUACAACUUAGUAACUCGUGUACAAUAUCAUAUAGAAAUAUUUCAAUAUUGCCAAUAUGUAACUAGCUAGUCUUUGAGAGGAUAAAAUAAGAUGAAAGUUUAUAACUUUUGAAGUAGUAUUGGAUUUCCCGUUGAUUUUGGUUUGGAUAACUAAUUACGGCAUUUCAUAUUUUGACAUUUCUUGUAAUAUUUCCUUGGGCAAUUAUGGAAUCUCGUGUUUGGCCAUUUUAGGUAAUUUUGACUUUGGCAACUCGGACAUCUCAUGUUUGGGCAUUUCAGGGUAUUUUGUCUUGGGUAGCUCCUCAUUUUUGGACAUCUCAUGUUUGGGCAUUUCAGGGUAUUUUGUCUUGGGUAGCUCCUCAUUUUUGGGCAUUUCAGGGUAUUUUGGCUUGGGUAGCUCCUCAUGUCUAGGUAUUUCAGGUAAUUUAGGUUGGGGUAUAAACUCCUCAUGUAUAGGCAUCUUAUGACCUUUUGGCUUCGGUAGCUCCUCAUGUUUGAAUAUUUCAGGGCUUUUUGGCUUUGGUAGAUCCUCAUGUUUAGAGAUUUCUGUGCAUUUUGGUUUGGGCAGCUCCUCGUGUUUGGGCCAUUUCAGACCAUAUUUUUUUGGGAAACUCCUCGUGUUUGGGCAUUUUGGUGCCUUUUGGCUUGGGUAGCUCCUCUUGUUUGGACAUUUUAUGACCCUUUGACUUAGGUAGCUCCUCGUGUUUGGGUAUUUUAGGACUUUUUGGCUUUGGUAGAUCCUCAUGUUUGGAGAUUUCUGGACAUUUUGGCUUGGGUAGCUCCUCAUGUUUGGGCAUUACUUCAGGACCUUUUGGCUUGGGUAGCUCCUCAUGUUUGGGCAUUACUUCAGGACCUUUUGGCUUGGGUAGCUCCUCAUGUCUAGGCAUUUUAUAACCUUUUGGCUUAGCUAGCUCCUCGUGUUUGGGUAUUUCAGGGCUUUUUGGCUUUGGUAGCUCCUCAUGUGUGGGGAUUUCUGGGCAAUUUGGCUUGAGUAGCUCCUCAUGUUU
rnacentral:lncRNA from 1 species